rnacentral:rRNA from 1 species
AGUGAACGCUGGCGGUAGGCCUAACACAUGCAAGUCGAACGGCAGCACAGUAAGAGCUUGCUCUUACGGGUGGCGAGUGGCGGACGGGUGAGGAAUACAUCGUAAUCUACUUUUUCGUGGGGGUUAACGUAGGGAAACUUACGCUAAUACCGCAUACGACCUACGGGUGAAAGCAGUGGAUCUUCGGACCUUGCGCGAUUGAAUGAGCCGCUGUCGGAUUAGCUAGUUGGCGGGGUAAAGGCCCACCAAGGCGACGAUCCGUAGCUUGUCUGAGAGGAUGAUCAGCCGCACUGGAACUGAGACACGGUCCAGACUCCUACGGGAGGCAGCAGUGGGGAAUAUUGGACAAUGGGCGCAAGCCUGAUCCAGCCAUACCGCGUGGGUGAAAGAGGCCUUCGGGUUGUAAAGCCGUUUUGUUGGGAAAGAAAAGCAGCAGGUUAAUACCCCGCUGUUCUGACGGUACCCAAAGAAUAAGCACCGGCUAACUUCGUG